GGCAGCGUGGCCGAGCGGUUAAGGCGUAGCACUCGAACUACGGAGAUCUCCACCCGGAGAAUCCUACGAUAUGCUAUUCAUUCGUGAGCGUGUGUUCGAAUCACACCGCUGUCG
rnacentral:tRNA from 1 species